ensembl:lncRNA
GGACCCGCACAGGCAGGCGACAGCCACUCGGGCUGGGGAAGGCGCGAGGGAGGGGACGCGGGCCGCGCGCCGCGCUCGGGGGCCGGUGACCGCGCCGGGGGCCUCUGCUCGCGGCCGGGCGCAGCGCCGGGCACCGCGGCGGGCGGGGCGGGGCCUCGGCGGGCUGGGCGCGCCGGGCAUCGAGCGCAACUCCUGGCGCCCGCGCAGAGACUUUGCCAAAGAGCCGAAGGGCGAGACGCUGUGCCACUUCUGACGGAGGGGGCCGGGGGGUGGGGGGACGGGGGCAGCGCCUCCAGCCGGGGCGAAGGGACCAGCGGGACAGCGGCCGCCGGGGGCACGGGGCCACCAUGUGAGCCGGACGCCGGCCCGAGGAGUCUGGACCGAGCGGCCCCGGAGAGGCGCCGGCCGUGCCAGGUAAGCGGGGAGCUCCUGCGGGAGGGGGUGGGGGUGCCGCGCGUUGUCCCGGGCUCGGGGUGCGGGGCUGCUCGGGGCGCCGGGGUCCGCGCUCCCGGGAGCCCCUUCGGACGCUGCGCGCGCUCCGGCCCCGCGCCGCGCUCUCCCCGCAACUCCCCGCCACCGCGGCCGGCCUGCCAGCGGGUCGGAGUUGCACUUGCUCGGACUUUGGGGGCAGGGGACGCGAGGGCGCCUCCCUUCGCGCUGAGGAGCCGCUUUCUGCAAGCGGGAGGGCGGUGGCGCGGGCCAGGGGCUGCGCGCCCGGCCGUGGGGACCCGCGACCCUCGGGGGCGCCGACCCUGGCUGCACCCUCGCUUGCCCCCGAGUGGCGGCGCCUCUCCCCGGCAGCCGCGGGCUGGAGAGGGCCGGCCGCGUCCCCGGCUCGAAGAUGCGCGCCGGCGGGGCCCCGAGACCCGAGCUCCAGGGAGGCUGGCGCGGCCCCCGUCCGCGCCUGGCGCGGCACCCACGCCCGAGUCCGGCCGUGGGAGGAGACCGUGGCGGCGACUCGCUUCCCCGCCACCUGCCGGACACCGCCAGCUCGCCGGGCCCGGAUGCUCCCGGGGACGCUCUGGAUGGCGCGCGGGUUGUUUGGGCUUUGCUCCCUCUAGUUGCGGUGGAUGGAGACCGGGGGUGGGGCGGCGGAGGACCAGAUGGGGUGAAAGUUGCCGAUGUGCAGAGGAAACGCUCUCGCGGAGUUCCAGCGUGCCCUUAGCAACACAGAGAGACUGUAGGCUGGACCUACGACGGAGCAUAACUCUGCCGGGCUAUCCUCCUCGGGUUGGGCUGGAGGAUGGAACCCAGAGGGCAGCCGGGAGGCAGCGCCGAGCUGUUUUUUGCGCCCCCCUCCCAAGACAGGCUGAGAGUAACAGGGCUGGCAUGAGACCACUGGGGGGUUGGUCUCUUAGCAGGUUCGGAGUUUCCUAUGCCAUCAUUAGUACUGCUAUUAAUGCUGUUGUUAUUGGCACGGAUGCCAGAAAGGAUUUUGUCUUCCGAUUGUUAUAA